rnacentral:rRNA from 1 species
AUUGAACGCUGGCGGCAGGCCUAACACAUGCAAGUCGAACGGUAACAGGAAGAAGCUUGCUUCUUUGCUGACGAGUGGCGGACGGGUGAGUAAUGUCUGGGAAACUGCCUGAUGGAGGGGGAUAACUACUGGAAACGGUAGCUAAUACCGCAUAACGUCGCAAGACCAAAGAGGGGGACCUUCGGGCCUCUUGCCAUCGGCUGUGCCCAGAUGGGAUUAGCUAGUAGGUGGGGUAACGGCUCACCUAGGCGACGAUCCCUAGCUGGUCUGAGAGGAUGACCAGCCACACUGGAACUGAGACACGGUCCAGACUCCUACGGGAGGCAGCAGUGGGGAAUAUUGCACAAUGGGCGCAAGCCUGAUGCAGCCGUGCCGCGUGUAUGAAGAAGGCCUUCGGGUUGUAAAGUACUUUCAGCGGGGAGGAAGGGAGUAAAGUUAAUACCUUUGCUCAUUGACGUUACCCGCAGAAGAAGCACCGGCUAACUACGUG